AUGAAGUGAUUAUUAGUUAGUCGAAAAUUAAGUCAAGUUUGAAUUUGAAUGAAGUGGAUUAUUUUGUUAGGACUUCAAUUGAUCAAACGAUUAAAUUAUUUUACAAUCUACAAUUUUUGAAUAUGUAAGUUGGAUACAAGUUUAAAUUUGGGAUAUGCUUUGCUAAUAAUAAAAGUUAGAGGGGUUAGAUUAUAUUAGUUGAAAAGAUAAGAG
rnacentral:lncRNA from 1 species